UUCUGCAUAUUAUUAAACUAAACUGGAUUCAAAAGAAACCUUCAGGAUGCAUCUUCUUCCUUUCUUCUCCAAGAUUAUCGAUUGAAGUAAGAGUGAUCUCUCCUUGAGUGUCCCCUUGCCAAGAGCUGGGCCUCGUCAAGCUUCAGAUCACUCAGAUGUAGAAACAAUUCAGGACUUCCUUUAAAACCCAUCUGGCUUACUCAACCAAGUAGAACAAUAAAUCUUUAACCUAAAUGCAUUUUCAACUUUAAAAGAAAAGAAAGAGGAGAUUCCAGAGCAAUAUUUUUAAAUGCUUCACUAUUUCUUGCUGUACUUAAGGGGAUCAAAAAGACUUCUCAAAAGCUAAGGAAAGCAUGAAAGAUUAAGAUUCCUGCUAGAACACACUGAUGGUUUGUAUCCUGCUGUGUAAGCAAUCUCCUUCCUUUAAGUUAUAACUUCCUUCAUAGAAGCCAUCGUCUUCAAAGUAUUUGUUUCAUCUAGACUGUAAUUUUGAGAGAGGAGAUAAGGUCAGCCUAGAUCUAUGCCAAGAAGAAAAGAAUAAGCAUGCCACUAAUAGAAUGGUUACAAUGAUGUCCAUAUAGACAUAUGUUGUUGGCAAUUUAUAGGAUGCAUCCAAGGCUGAACAUUGUCAUUGGAAAGUCACUCUAUAAUUUUUGGAAGAUUAUAGAGGUCAAGAAAAAUUCCAGAUGAGAGGAAGAGUGACUGGAAUGUAUCAUUACAUUCUACAUGAAAGGUAAAAAAAGAAGAUUCAGGAAACUACAGACUAGGUGACAAGGAAACUGGCUAAUAAUUGAGAAUCUGAACUCUUUUCCAGUUUUCUUGCUUUCUGUCCGAUGAAUGGAAGCAGAAGUUCUCAUUUAUUGGAUAGUGUAGCAUAUUUACAAGCAGUAUUUUUGUGCAAAAAUAGCUGUGAUGAAGCCAGACCAAAAUGUUUACUCUGCUAGUUGAAGACCUACUGAAACCAAAUAAAAGGCUACAACAAAGAAGAAAUUUUCUAGAUGAAUUCC